GCCUGGCUGGCGCAAUGGUAGCGCGUCAGACUUCUAAUCUGAAGGUUGCGGGUUCGAUCCCCGCGUUGGGUU
rnacentral:tRNA from 1 species